GGCUGUCGUCAGCUCGUGUCGUGAGAUGUGGGUUAAGUCCCGUAACGAGCGCAACCCUUGUCCUUAGUUACCAGCGACGUUAUGGUGGGCACUCUAAGGAGACUGCCGGUGACGAAACCGGAGGAAGGUGGGGAUGACGUCAAGUCAUCAUGGCCCUUACGGCCUGGGCUACACACGUGCUACAAUGGUCGGUACAAAGGGUUGCCAAGCCGCGAGGUGGAGCUAAUCCCAUAAAACCGAUCGUAGUCCGGAUCGCAGUCUGCAACUCGACUGCGUGAAGUCGGAAUCGCUAGUAAUCGUGAAUCAGAAUGUCACGGUGAAUACGUUCCCGGGCCUU
rnacentral:rRNA from 1 species